rnacentral:rRNA from 1 species
CGCGUAGGCGGUUUUGCAAGUCAGAUGUGAAAGCCCCGGGCUUAACUCGGGAAUUGCAUCUGAAACUGCUUAACUUGAGUCCUGGAUGGGGUAGUGGAAUUCCCAGUGUAGCGGUGAAAUGCGUAGAUAUUGGGAGGAACACCUGCGGCGAAGGCGGCUACCUGGACAGUGACUGACGCUGAGGCGCGAAAGCUAGGGGAGCGAACGG